UCGAGAAUCAUUCGCAAUGGGCGAAAGCCUGACGAUGCGACGCCGUGUGUGCGAUGAAGGCCUUCGGGUUGUAAAGCACUUUCGCUUGGGAACAAGAGAGAUUGGCUAAUAUCCAGUUGAUUUGAGGGUACCAGGUAAAGAAGCACCGGCUAACUCCGUGCCAGCAGCUGCGGUAAUACGGAGGGUGCAAGCAUUAAUCGGAUUUAUUGGGCGUAAAGGGCGCGUAGGCGGGCAUGUAAGUCAGAUGUGAAAUUCCGGAGCUCAACUCCGGAACUGCAUUUGAAACUGUGUGUCUAGAGGGUAGGGGGAGAAAAUAGAAUUCCACAAGUAGCGGUGAAAUGCGUAGAUAUGUGGAAGAAUACCGGUGGCGAAGGCGAUUUUCUACCUUACACCUGACGCUGAGGCGCGAAAGCAAGGGGAUCAAACA
rnacentral:rRNA from 1 species